rnacentral:rRNA from 1 species
GCAGUCGAACGGUGAUAGCAAUAUCAUAGUGGCGCACGGGUGCGUAACACGUAUGCAACCUACCUUAUACUGAGGGAUAGCCUUCCGAAAGGGAGAUUAAUACCUCAUAACACAUUGAACUGGCAUCAGUUUAUUGUUAAAGAUUUAUUGGUAUAAGAUGGGCAUGCGUCCAAUUAGUUAGUUGGCGAGGUAACGGCUCACCAAGACGAUGAUUGGUAGGGGAACUGAGAGGUUAAUCCCCCACACUGGCACUGAGAUACGGGCCAGACUCCUACGGGAGGCAGCAGUAGGGAAUAUUGGGCAAUGGAGGCAACUCUGACCCAGCCAUGCCGCGUGCAGGAAGAAGGCGUUAUGCGUUGUAAACUGCUUUUAUAUAGGAAGAAAUAGACCUUGCGAGGUAAGUUGACGGUACUAUAUGAAUAAGCACCGGCUAACUCCGUGCCAGCAGCCGCGGUAAUACGGAGGGUGCAAGCGUUGUCCGGAUUUAUUGGGUUUAAAGGGUGCGUAGGCGGUUUAUUAAGUCAGUGGUGAAAGACGGUCGCUCAACGAUUGCAGUGCCAUUGAUACUGGUAGACUUGAGUGGGAUUGAGGUAGCUGGAAUGGAUAGUGUAGCGGUGAAAUGCAUAGAUAUUAUCCAGAACACCAAUUGCGUAGGCAAGUUACUAAGUCUCAACUGACGCUGAG